GGCAACCUCUCUGGAGAGUCUCCGUGUGAGCGCCGAAGGUGUAAGGCAGGAAGGAAAAAGAACCUGCUGUAUCUCUCAGGCAAAAGGACAGGGCAGUGUAA
rfam:Lachnoclostridium sp. An14 An14_contig_5, whole genome shotgun sequence.